UUAUGGCAAGGUUCCAAUCAUAGUUGGCCCUCAGCAUAAGCCGAAGAAAAAGAGCACGCUGGAAAAAGCAAUGCUUCAUUAUUUGUAGCAACGUCAUGAAGAAGCUGUUGCCGCGGGUCAGGAACCUCCUUUUGGUGGUCGUUAUGCUCCACCCUCAGUCCCGGGUGUUUCACGUCCACUUAGUACUACCGUUUCAGGCGGCACAAAUAAACCUAAGGAUGAGGUUGGGUCAGCG
rnacentral:lncRNA from 1 species